rnacentral:rRNA from 1 species
UACGUAGGGGGGCUAGCGUUGUCCGGAUUUAUUGGGCGUAAAGAGCGUGUAGGCGGCCAGGUAGGUCUGCUGUGAAAACUCGAGGCUCAACCUCGAGACGUCGGCGGAAACCAUCUGGCUAGAGUCCGGAAGAGGAGAGUGGAAUUCCUGGUGUAGCGGUGAAAUGCGCAGAUAUCAGGAAGAACACCCGUGGCGAAGGCGGCUCUCUGGGACGGUACUGACGCUGAGACGCGAAAGCGUGGGGAGCGAACAGGAUUA